GAUGAACGCUGGCGGCGUGCCUAAUACAUGCAAGUCGAGCGAACGGACGAGAAGCUUGCUUUUCUGAUGUUAGCGGCGGAAGGGUGAGUAACACGUGGAUAACCUACCUAUAAGACUGGGAUAACUUCGGGAAACCGGAGCUAAUACCGGAUAAUAUUUUGAACCGCAUGGUUCAAAAGUGAAAGACGGUCUUGCUGUCACUUAUAGAUGGAUCCGCGCUGCAUUAGCUAGUUGGUAAGGUAACAGCUUACCAAGGCAACGAUGCAUAGCCGACCUGAGAGGGUGAUCGGCCACACUGGAACUGAGACACGGUCCAGACUACUACGGGCGGCAGCAGUAGGGAAUCUUCCGCAAUGGGCGAAAGCCUGACGGAGCAACGACGCGUGAGUGAUGAAGGUCUUCGGAUCGUAAAACGCUGUUAUUAGGGAAGAACAUAUGUGUAAGUAACUGUGCACAUCUUGACGGUCCCUAAUCAGAAAGCCACGGCUAACUACGUG
rnacentral:rRNA from 1 species